CACUGCCAUGCUUCAAUGUGAAUAAACAGUGUGCUUGUUGUUAAUAUCAGGUUCAAUCGCCACCGUUUAUUUAUACGGUAAUUCACCGUUGGAGCAGCAUCAACACUUCACAUCACACGGGCUUCAGAAACAGCUAAUCUGAUACAACUCCAUCAGUUCACGGUCGCGCCACGUGUCCAUGUCUUAAAACCUUUAUUCUCACUCUGGGACCCAGGCACCGCACACAGCCACAUAACAACUUAAACAACCACGACCCGGCACGACGGCCAAUCAGAUCCCUCCACGGCGCAUCGGCGAAUUUUCCUCUCCGAUCACCGGCGGUUAGGGUUCCGACGGGUAUCCGUCACAUAAUUGGAACCUUACACGUCGCUGCCACAGAAUCCUCCAGCUCAGGGCCUCUUCCUCCAUUAAUGAACAGCUUUCAUUUUCACACCAUUUAAAGCUUUUUUUCGCUUUUUGUUUUUCUACUCCUUUAUACGAUGUCGUAUAUACGACGGAGAAAGGCCCCUGCGAAUCCUGUGCGGAACGAGGAAGAAAAGGAGAAGGAGAAAAAGGUCAAGGCGAGGAGUAUCAAAGGAGAAAAGAUAAGGAAAUGGUCGUGCAUGGAUGGUUGUUGUUGGUUCAUUGGAAUGAUAUGUUCAAUUUGGUGGUUCUUACUGUUUUUGUACAAUGCAAUGCCGGCAUCGUUCCCUCAGUACGUGACGGAGGCGAUUACGGGGCCGUUGCCGGAUCCUCCCGGAGUGAAACUGAGUAAGGAGGGGUUGACGGCGGAGCACCCGGUGGUUUUCGUGCCGGGUAUUGUCACCGGUGGGUUGGAACUCUGGGAGGGUCGUCAGUGUGCGGAUGGUUUGUUCAGGAAGAGGUUGUGGGGUGGCACGUUUGGUGAAUUGUAUAAAAGACCGUUAUGCUGGGUUGAACACAUGUCACUAGAUAAUGAAACAGGACUAGACCGUCCAGGCAUUAGAGUUAGGCCAGUUUCUGGACUUGUAGCAGCUGAUUAUUUUGCACCUGGUUAUUUUGUUUGGGCCGUUCUAAUUGCUAAUUUAGCUCGCAUUGGGUAUGAGGAGAAGAACAUGUAUAUGGCUGCUUACGAUUGGAGAAUUUCAUUUCAGAAUACAGAGGUAAGGGAUCGAUCUUUGAGCAGGAUAAAAAGUAAUAUAGAACUCAUGGUGGCUACAAAUGGUGGUAAGAAGGUGGUUGUUAUUCCACAUUCAAUGGGUGUUUUGUACUUUUUGCAUUUUAUGAAAUGGGUUGAGGCACCAGCACCAAUGGGUGGAGGGGGUGGAUCAGAUUGGUGUGCCAAACAUAUUAAAGCAGUGAUGAACAUUUGGGGACCUUUUCUCGGUGUUCCAAAAUCUGUUGCGGGACUUUUCUCAAUAGAAGCCAGGGAUAUUGCAGUUGCCAGGACUUUCGCACCAGGUUUUUUGGAGAAGGAUGUUUUUGGUCUUCAAACUUUACAACAUCUAAUGCGGAUGACUCGAACAUGGGAUUCAACGAUGUCAAUGAUACCCAAAGGUGGGGAUACUAUAUGGGGUAGCCUUGACUGGUCACCUGAUGUGUCCUAUAACUGCAGUGUGAAGAAACGCAAGAACAAUGAUACUCACAAUGCCUUUCAAAAUGACAAAGAGAGUCUUGGGCUUAUGAAAAAUAAUAGUUAUGGAAGACUCAUAUCGUUUGGGAAAGAUAUAGCCGAGUUACACUCCUCCAAGCUUGAGAGGUUGGAUUUUAGGGGUGCUCUCAAGGGUAGGAAUCUUGCCAACACAUCUAACUGUGAUGUGUGGACAGAGUACCAUGAUAUGGGUGUUGAAGGAAUCAAAGCUGUUACGGAUUACAAAGCUUACACAGCUGAUUCAGUUUUGGAUCUGCUUCAUUUUGUCGCCCCCAAGAUGAUGAAACGCGGAGAUGCUCAUUUUUCUUAUGGAAUUGCUGAUGACUUGGAUGAUGAAAAAUACAAACAUUAUAAAUAUUGGUCUAACCCCUUGGAAACAACAUUACCAAAUGCUCCAGAUAUGGAGAUUUACUCUAUGUAUGGAGUUGGAAUCCCUACAGAAAGAGCAUAUGUCUACAAGUUAACUCCUCAAUCUGAAUGCUACAUUCCAUUUCAGAUUGACACCUCAGCAAAUGGUGGAAACGAGUACUCAUGUCUGAGGGAUGGGGUUUACAGUUCUGAUGGUGAUGAAACUGUUCCUGUUUUAAGUGCUGGUUUCAUGUGUGCCAAAGGUUGGCGGGGAAGGACACGCUUUAAUCCGUCAGGAAUUCGUACAUUCAUAAGGGAGUAUGAUCACGCCCCUCCGGCCAAUCUUCUAGAAGGUAGGGGAACUCAGAGUGGCGCUCAUGUUGACAUAUUGGGUAACUUUGCAUUGCUUGAAGAUAUUAUACGAGUAGCUGCUGGAGCCUCUGGGGAGGACUUAGGUGGCGAUAGAGUGCACUCCGAAAUUUUCAAAUGGUCUGAAAAGAUAAUUUUGGAUCUUUAGGUUCACGUGGUAACUGGUAAGUUCACUCCCUGGCCUUGGUCUUGGCCCAAGCAUAGUGUAAAUCGUUCAAUUUUCUAGUCCCAUUCUUAAGUGAAAGGUUAGGUAACAUUCGAAUCAGCGUUUAUUUUGAUGCUUGUGAUAUUCACUCAAGAUGUUUGUGUUCUAUCUCAUCAUUUUCAUGUGGGUAGAUUAUUUGACCAAACAAUGUUUUGGAUCAAUGCUUAUAAAAUGUACCGGAGAUUGAACUGGUUAUGUAGUGGUUCAAAUGGUUGAAUUUGUAGUUGGACCACAAUUGAACUAGUUAGACAUAACUAGUUCGACUAAUUGGUUUUGUCCAGUUUUUUAAAUUAUUGCUCUCAACAUUUUAUGUUCUUCAUACGAUAAUGGAACUUGGCCAGUUUAUAGAUAUAAAAUCUCUGGCUUUAGAAUCAUAUAAAAGUGGAGUCUAUAUGUUAGUUAACUAGUAAUAUCUAUUGGUGUAAGGUUCUGUUUGAAUAAACCUCUUCAUAAACACUUACAGAAUGACAAAAUAAGAAGGUAAAAUUAGUCACAAAUUGAAGUCUACUUGUGAACUUAAUUUUCAUAUUAGCCUUCUCAUUUAACUCUUUCAAAUUUGGUAUAUUUAACCUGAUUUUAGUUGAUGGGAGAAGAUCUAUAUAUUCUGUCUUCUUAUUUCCUUCUUCUAUCAGUACUUAAGCAGAAAUUUAUCCAAACAGAAACAGUAACUACCGGGAGUGCUUUCCCCCUGAAACAGGACUUGUCUUCACUUGCAUUAGUUAUUCAUCCUCACAUCAAUACUUAGGUACUCGAUAGAAUCCUAUCUACUUCAACUAUUAUGCUUUAAGACGGGGCUGAUGUUAUGAGCUCUGGAGUUGGUAUAGCAGUGGCAGUGUGAACGGCAACUUGCUUACUGAGAUUUUAGCCAUACAAUUUUGUCAGAUUGGGAGUGUUGAGUCUGUUUACAAUCCCCAUCCCCCCAAAAAAUAGUACCAACGUCUUAUUUUAGGUCCAUGAUUCUUGCUUGACUAGAAAUUUGUUAUUCCAUUCAUUGAUUUUAUUAUUGUCAAGUAUUAGUGUUA